GCGGACGUGGUGGAACUGGCAGACACGCAGGAUUUAGGUUCCUGUGCCUCGUGCGUGCGGGUUCAAGUCCCGCCGUCCGCA
rnacentral:tRNA from 1 species